rnacentral:lncRNA from 1 species
UCAGAGAAGAGACUAGGCAACAGUAGAAAAGAAUCAGGGAGACUCAGCGGGAGAGAGAGAAAGAGAGUCCAGAGGCUUCGAAAGAACCUCCCCGCAGCACUGUUGCCUGCCCCAUUUUAUAGUAGAGCGCGGCGUGGUGCCGCCAUUAAUGGCACAAACAACUGGGGGAGUUGUCAAAUCGUCGGAGGCUGUCAGAGUCGCCGCAGACUGUCAAGUCACCGUGAGCUGUCAAAUCGCUGGGAUUAAUCUAUUUCCUUGGCAGGACAAUGCCCAAGGGCGGCUAUGCCGCACGCCCUUGUCAGGACAGCGGUCCACAGCAGUCGUACGGCGUUUGGGGGAGCCGACCGAUCAUACGUCGGCAUUUGGUUGCGGGACGUCGGG